GUUUAUUUUGCUGUGUCAGUGGCUAGCCUUUACUAAGAAACCUCUGAGAGGACACUGCUUGAUACGGGACAAGACACUGCUUCUUGCAUGGAUACUGAACGAUGCUUACCAUGUGGACUAGGGCGCAUGCUUUUAAUAUGAUUUGAUAGAGUUCAAUUGCUGGAUCGGUCUGUCUAGCGCAGACAGGGGUUGUUCUCACACACGCUGGUGCAGACGUCUAGGAACCGAGUGGUCGGCUGAGGAAGCUCAUGGUGCUGCUCACCCGCCCGGCAAGGGUCAAUCUGGCCGAAACGAGUGGAAGAAAACUUAGUCUCAAUCUCCGAACACUGAAAAGUGAACUUGGGUAGUUGAGCCGGGUGGGGUGAGAGGGCUGCAGGGUGGGGAGCUCUGGGCAUGAGUGGAGAGACAGACACGGGUGUUUCCCGGCGUGGCCUGUGCGGUGCCGCGUGCAGGCAGGAUCUGGUCCAGCUCCGUAGGUAAUUAGCUCACGGCCCACCUGGGAGGUGCGGGCGCGGGCUCCCGGGGCCCAGGCAUGCUCUGUGCAAAUUCGGCGGCGUGGAUACCAUGACUCACCGUUCACCCAAGUCAAUGGUAUUUUUUGCUUUUCAGUGAAACGACUUUCUGUUGUGUCGUCGGAGCUGUCAACCUGAGCACGAGAGGGUUCCUGUCUUGGUGAGGAAGCAUACUCUGGCUCGCUCUCCUCCAGGAUGGACUCGGGCAUCUGCUGCCUUGCGGCCGUCAGCUUUGCUUCUCAGGGGAUCAGACCUCCAAGAACAGAACAACAGCCAGAUGCCUGCAAAUCUGGUGUCAGCCAAAAAAAGAGCCUGAUUCAAGAAGCAGAAAUAAUAGAAUACUUGCUUCUCUCUGCCUUUUUGCAAAAGAGCCUGCCAGUUACAGUGUAGUGUCAGGACACACUUGUCCACUUGCUAUGCCGGGAGCGAAUCACUCCUCGGGGCCUGUGGCCGGCCAGAGGGAGGGCACGUGGGCGGCCAGCAAGGGACAGGCCUCCACUGCCACCUGUCAGUGACACCUCCGCUGAGCGAGUGUCCCCGUCCCAGGCUCUGGAGGACUAACGGGCUUCCUUUCAUCCACACCCACACGCAAGGGCAAGCCCUUUAGCCACCCAAGCUCAAAAUCGAAUUCCAGCUUUCCAUCCCAAAGGGUAUUCCUGGUUUGCACUCUUCUUCCUUGCUCACGUUCUUUCUCCUUCUGGUGCCCAAAUAAAGGCAAAACUCCAAGAUCAGUUUUGCAUGGUGGGCCUUGCCCGGGCCACUUUCUUGGCAUCGGGCCAAAUUGCUUAUGCACCACCAGGGCGGGAAUUUUUCAUCUUCCCCUGGUGGCUUAGCAAGUGACAGGAAAAGCAGCGAGAUGUAAACAGCUGCCCGCGCGGUGCAGAAGCUGGAGC